rnacentral:rRNA from 1 species
GACGAACGCUGGCGGCGUGCCUAAUACAUGCAAGUUGAGCGCUGAAGGCUGGUACUUGUUCCAACUGGAUGAGCAGCGAACGGGUGAGUAACGCGUGGGCAAUCUGCAUGUGAGCGGGGGACAACAUUUGGAAACGAAUGCUAAUACCGCAUAAAAACUUUAAACACAAGUUUUAAGUUUGAAAGAUGCAAUUGCAUCACUCAAAGAAGAUCCCGCGUUGUAUUAGCUAGUUGGCGAGGUAAAGGCUCACCAACGCGAGGAUACAUAGCCGACCUGAGAGGGUGAUCGGCCACAUUGGGACUGAGACACGGCCCAAACUCCUUCUGGUGGCAGCAGUAGGGGAUCUUCGGCAAUGGACGAAAGUCUGACCGAGCAACGCCGCGUGAGUGAAGAAGGUUUUCGGAUCGUAAAACUCUGUUCGUAGGGAAGAACGUUGGUGAGAGUGGAAAGCUCAUCAAGUGACGGUAACUACCCAGAAAGGGACGGCUAACUACGUG